GCCCAAACUUGUCACACAAGUCGUGAAGCCAUGGAAUUACAUGCCAGAGUUUCGAUCAUGGACAAAUAACUAUUAUUCUUUUACAAGAAAUGCUACAAACCAGCAAUUAAACAUCAUUCUAAAUUCUAAUUUUGACAUAUCAUGAAUUGGAUCUAAUCCAUAUCACAACAAUAAUAUGUCAUUUGAUUGAAUCAAUCAAAGAUGGAUCUGAUACCACUGUUGGGAUUCAGAUGCAUAACGGAAUUGAAAUUUAAAAAUUUUUAACAUGCAACCAUAAUAGAAAACAUAUGAUUUGAACUCCAAUCCCAAAAUCACCUUGAUGCAUUCAAUCAAACAAGAACAUGAAUCACAUAGCAUAUAUAUAAAAGAGAGAUUGGAAAUGUUAUACUAAACAGGAAGAUCUGAG
rnacentral:lncRNA from 1 species